rnacentral:rRNA from 1 species
CUGGCGGAGGCCUACACAUGCAAGUCGAGCGCUCGUAGCAAUACGGGAGCGGCAGACGGGAGAGUAACACGUGGGAACGUACCCUUCGGUUCGGAAUAACCCAGGGAAACUUGGGCUAAUACCGGAUACGUCCGUAAGGAGAAAGAUUUAUUGCCGAAGGAUCGGCCCGCGCCCGAUUAGCUAGUUGGUGAGGUAACGGCUCACCAAGGCGACGAUCGGUAGCUGGUCUGAGAGGAUGAUCAGCCUCACUGGGACUGAGACACGGCCCAGACUCCUACGGGAGGCAGCAGUGGGGAAUAUUGGACAAUGGGCGCAAGCCUGAUCCAGCCAUGCCGCGUGGGUGAUGAAGGCCUUAGGGUUGUAAAGCCCUUUCGGCGGGGAAGAUAAUGACGGUACCCGCAGAAGAAGCCCCGGCUAACUUCGUGCCAGCAGCCGCGGUAAUACGAAGGGGGCUAGCGUUGCUCGGAAUCACUGGGCGUAAAGCGCACGUAGGCGGAUUCUUAAGUCAGAGGUGAAAUCCUGGAGCUCAACUCCAGAACUGCCUUUGAUACUGA